ACGUUCCUAAACAAUGGAAACAAGCCCAAGUGAUCAUGCUACCAGGAAAACCAUCAGAACAAGUAACUUCAUACAGACCAAUUUCGCUUCUUCCAAACAUCUCAAAAUUAUUCGAAAAACUACUAAAAAAACUUAAAACCAUUUAUAGAAGACAGUAAAAAUGGGUGCAUGUUAAUUAUACCUAUAAACCAGAAUUGCUAGAUCAGCAAAUCAUCCCACAGUGUGACUCAGCAAAAUAUCUAGGAAAGCACCUGGACUCUCGGCCUAACUUGAAGAACACCACGUUAGAAAGUAAAAACUAAAAAAUUUAGAAAAAAAUGCAACUACAUUGAUUGGUCGGAAGUUAUUCUGUUCUUGAGCU